rnacentral:misc_RNA from 1 species
GGAACCACUGCCAACAGCACUAGAAUUUGAAGAGAAGUUGAGACCCUAUACAUGCUCCGAUGUUUUAUCUUGUCGGUGUUGCUAACAAUCGCUUGUGCUGUAUCUGCAAUAGUUGUGAUUGACAUCAAAAUUUUCCAUCGAUUGUACGUACCAGUAUGGAAAAUCUUGGUCAAGUAUUUGUUUGUGGUCUCCUUAGGUACAAUAUCU